rnacentral:rRNA from 1 species
UUCCCUAGUAGCGGCGAGCGAGCGGGAAGAGCUCAAAUUUAUAAUCUGGCACCUUCGGUGUCCGAGUUGUAAUCUCUAGAAGUGUUUUCCGCGUUGGACCGCACACAAGUCUGUUGGAAUACAGCGGCAUAGUGGUGAAACCCCCGUAUAUGGUGCGGACGCCCAGCGCUUUGUGAUACACUUUCAAUGAGUCGAGUUGUUUGGGAAUGCAGCUCAAAUUGGGUGGUAAAUUCCAUCUAAAGCUAAAUAUUGGCGAGAGACCGAUAGCGAACAAGUACCGUGAGGGAAAGAUGAAAAGCACUUUGGAAAGAGAGUUAACAGUACGUGAAAUUGUUGGAAGGGAAACGCUUGAAGUCAGACUUGCUUGCCGGAGCUUGCUUCGGUUUGCAGGCCAGCAUCAGUUUUCCGGGGUGGAUAAUGACGGUUUGAAGGUAGCAGUCUCGGCUGUGUUAUAGCUUUCCGUUGGAUACAUCCUGGGGGACUGAGGAACGCAGCGUGCUUUUUGCGAAAGACUCGUCUUUUUCACGCUUAGGAUGCUGGUGGAAUGGCUUUAAACGACCCGUCUUGAACCACGGACCC